ensembl:rRNA 5S_rRNA 5S ribosomal RNA
UGCCACAGUCCAAUCACCCUGCAGCCUAAGGCCGGUUACGUACUGAAGCUAAGCAGGGCUGAGCCUAGUCAGUACCUGGAUGGGAGACCACAUGGGAAAACUAGGAUGCAGUUGGAA